rnacentral:rRNA from 1 species
CCAGACUCCUACGGGAGGCAGCAGUGGGGGAUAUUGCACAAUGGGGGAAACCCUGAUGCAGCGACGCCGCGUGAGUGAAGAAGUAUUUCGGUAUGUAAAGCUCUAUCAGCAGGGAAGAAAAUGACAGUACCUGACCAGGAAGCCCCGGCUAACUACGUGCCAGCAGCCGCGGUAAUACGUAGGGGGCAAGCGUUAUCCGGAUUUACUGGGUGUAAAGGGAGCGUAGACGGUUAUGUAAGUCUGGAGUGAAAGCCUGGGGCCCAACCCCGGGACUGCUUUGGAAACUGUGUAACUGGAGUACAGGAGGGGCAGGCGGAAUUCCUGGUGUAGCGGUGAAAUGCGUAGAUAUCAGGAGGAACACCGGCGGCGAAGGCGGCUUACUGGACUGUAACUGACGUUGAGGCUCGAAAGCGUGGGGAGCAAACAGGAUUAGAUACCCCUGUACC